rnacentral:rRNA from 1 species
GCCUACAGGCAUACCACCCUUAAUGUGCCAGAUCUCAUCUGAUCUCGGAAGCUAAGCAGGGUCGGGCCUGGUUAGUACUUGGGUGGGAAUGUGUGGUUCAAUGAGGCUCUCUAGAAA